UUACGGUCAAAUCACGCUGAAACACCGGUUCUCGUACGAUCACAGAAGUUAAGCAUCGUAGAGCCAGGUCAGUACUUAGAUGGGGGACCGCUUGGGAACACCUGGUACUGUAAG
rnacentral:rRNA from 1 species